UGUGGCUCACACGCUGACAGCCGUGGGCUCCUCAUCUCAAAAUGUGGACAUUUCAGGCCAAAAAUGUUUCCGACCUAACUCCACAAGCAUUUAUGGGCUCCUUCAGGACCGUGUUACAGCCUGCACCGAGUCCCCACGAACACGGCUGGCUGAUCCUGCCACCAGCAUCCCGUCGGACUCGGGCGACCGCAGCCACGGCAAGCAAACUGCACGCAGAUGGAUUUCACUCUCAUUUUUGCAGCUCAAGCCAACUGGGAAUGUAAACCGCACUGACCAAGGAAAGUUGGGGAAAUUGCCAGUGAACGCAGAAAAAAAGAAAAGGAAGGAAGAUGUGGAAAGCAGGAGGUUUAAAUGAAAAGUGAACGUUUUAAGUGGAGGAGUAAGAGGUACAUUGAAUUUGGAAAUACGACCACAGCAGAGCCGUGGAAAAAUCCAAGGAGUUAUUAAAAUCUUUAAAACUCAAUUGUUUAGAAAUUAGGCACACAGCUUAAAAAUGACGUUUUGGCAAAGCUGGGCGUGUUUUGGAAUAGACAUCACUGUCCAAAGCCCUUUAGAAACAGGCCGUACGCAGACGUCUCCGAGACACUGGUGAAGAGUGAAAAACUGAAUAACAACAUAGUACAACCAAACCAAAACCUUGACCUGUUCAGGAGAUACAGGUCAAGAUUACAAAAAAGUAAGAUUAUUUUAUUUGCUUUUUUAACGAUAUCACAUCUUGCGUCCUUCUUGAAAAACUAUAGGAAUGUUUUCUUUACU